rnacentral:rRNA from 1 species
UACAGAGGUCCCGAGCGUUGUUCGGAUUCAUUGGGCGUAAAGGGUGUGUAGGUGGCGCCGUAAGUCGGGUGUGAAAUUUCGGAGCUUAACUCCGAAACUGCAUUCGAUACUGCGGUGCUUGAGGACUGGAGAGGAGACUGGAAUUCAUGGUGUAGCAGUGAAAUGCGUAGAGAUCAUGAGGAAGAGCAGUGGCGAAGGCGGGUCUCUGGACAGUUCCUGACACUGAGACACGAAGGCCAGGGGAGCAAACGGG